AUGUUUCCAAUUACCUACUCAAACAUCGAUGUGCCUAUUGAUUUCCCCAAGGUUACAUACCAGCGAUAUGAUUCUCUUCAUUGUUAUUGCUUCUAGACCUGCUUCCUUCCUUCUCUCGCCCCUCUAAUCCUUCUCUCUCCCCUCUAAACCAAAGAUGAUAAUCUGCUUCCUUCCUUCUCUUCCCCUCUAAUCCAGUAAAACAUCUGCCCUAGACGCUCUAUAAUUUCAACUAUAUAGAAUCCUUUGUCGUUCUCGACUUUGGUGUGUGGCUGUUCUUCGUUGAAAUGAUUUAUUUUUCAAGGGACUUCAUCUUUAUUAAGAUUGAAGUUCAUGGGAUUUUAUAUGUCAAUUCAACAUAUGCAAACUAGGUGUUUGAUGACAUGCCUCAAUACAACAAGACUUUCAAGCAUCUCGAUUCAAGCUAAUAUUGAGGUUCUAAGUAAUCUAGAGAAGGCAACUUAUCGCUUUUCUAAUACAUUCUUCUUCAUACAUCUUAUCGGCAGGCACAAAGGCAAG